GUCGAGCGAGAAAGGGGGGCAACUCCCUGAGUACAGCGGCGCACGGGUGAGUAACACGUGGGUAAUCUGCCCUGGAGUGGGGAAUAACACCGGGAAACCGGUGCUAAUACCGCAUACGAUAGCGAGGUCUGCGGACUUUGUUAUGAAAGGAGCAAUUCGCUCUAGGAGGAGCCCGCGGCUGAUUAGCUAGUUGGUGAGGUAACGGCUCACCAAGGCUACGAUCAGUAUCCGGUCUGAGAGGACGGUCGGACACACUGGAACUGAGACACGGUCCAGACUCCUACGGGAGGCAGCAGUGGGGAAUUUUUGGCAAUGGGGGCAACCCUGACCAAGCAACGCCGCGUGGGUGAUGAAGUCUCUUGGGACGUAAAACCCUUUCGACGGGGACGAAAGCCGCAAGGUUUGACGGUACCCGUAGAAGAAGCCCCGGCUAACUCCGUGCCAGCAGCCGCGGUAAUACGGGGGGGGCAAGCGUUGUUCGGAAUUACUGGGCGUAAAGGGCGCGUAGGCGGUCCGCUAAGUUGGAUGUGAAAACUCUGGGCUUAACCCAGAGCCUGCAUUCAAAACUGACGGGCUAGAGUUCUGGAGGGGGUAGCGGAAUUCCUGGUGUAGCGGUGAAAUGCGUAGAUAUCAGGAGGAACACCGGUGGCGAAAGCGGCUACCUGGACAGAAACUGACGCUGAGGCGCGAAAGC
rnacentral:rRNA from 1 species